rnacentral:rRNA from 1 species
UCCAGACUCCUACGGGAGGCAGCAGUGGGGGAUAUUGCACAAUGGGGGAAACCCUGAUGCAGCGACGCCGCGUGGGUGAAGAAGCGCCUCGGCGCGUAAAGCCCUGUCAGCAGGGAAGAAAAUGACGGUACCUGAGGAAUAAGCCACGGCUAACUACGUGCCAGCAGCCGCGGUAAUACGUAGGUGGCAAGCGUUAUCCGGAUUUACUGGGUGUAAAGGGGGCGCAGACGGCGAUGCAAGCCAGGAGUGAAAGCCCGGGGCCCAACCCCGGGACUGCUCUUGGAACUGCGUGGCUGGAGUGCAGGAGGGGCAGGCGGAAUUCCUGGUGUAGCGGUGAAAUGCGUAGAUAUCAGGAGGAACACCAGUGGCGAAGGCGGCUUUCUGGACUGUAACUGACACUGAGGUACGAAAGCGUGGGGAGCAAACAGGAUUAGAUACCCGCGUACC